CACUCCAAAACAGAAAACUGAAUCAGAAGAAUCUGAUGAUGAGGAGGAAUAUGAUGAAGAAGGAAUGGCUAUGCUUGCAAGAAAAUUAAGAAAGUUCAUGAGAGGAAAGAAGAAAUUUCAUAAAAGGAAGCCCUUCCUCAAAGGUAGCUCAAGCAAGGAAAAGGGUAAGAACAAAGAAAAGAAAAAGGAAACACCAAUUUGCUAUG
rnacentral:lncRNA from 1 species